ensembl:snRNA U6 U6 spliceosomal RNA
GCGCUCAUUUCGGCAGCACAUAUACAAGUGGAAUGAUACAGAGAAGAUUAGCAUGGCCCCUGUGGAAGGAUGACAUGCAAAUUCGUGAAGCGUUCCGUAUCUUU